GACGAACGCUGGCGGCGUGCUUAACACAUGCAAGUCGAACGGUAAGGCCCUUCGGGGUACACGAGUGGCGAACGGGUGAGUAACACGUGGGUGAUCUGCCCUGCACUUCGGGAUAAGCCUGGGAAACUGGGUCUAAUACCGGAUAGGACCACUGCCUGCAUGGGUGGUGGUGGAAAGCUUUUGCGGUGUGGGAUGGGCCCGCGGCCUAUCAGCUUGUUGGUGGGGUGAUGGCCUACCAAGGCGACGACGGGUAGCCGGCCUGAGAGGGUGACCGGCCACACUGGGACUGAGAUACGGCCCAGACUCCUACGGGAGGCAGCAGUGGGGAAUAUUGCACAAUGGGGGCAAGCCUGAUGCAGCGACGCCGCGUGAGGGAUGACGGCCUUCGGGUUGUAAACCUCUUUCAGCACCGACGAAGCGCAAGUGACGGUAGGUGCAGAAGAAGGACCGGCCAACUACGUGCCAGCAGCCGCCGUAAAAC
rnacentral:rRNA from 1 species